UACGGGGGGGCAAGCGGUUGUCCGGAAUUACUGGGCGUAAAGGGCUCGUAGGCGGCCAACUAAGUCGGAUGUGAAAUCCCCAGGCUUAACCUGGGAACUGCAUCCGAUACUGGAUGGCUUGAAUCCGGGAGAGGGAUGCAGAAUUCCAGGUGUAGCGGUGAAAUGCGUAGAUAUCUGGAGGAAUACCGGUGGCGAAGGCGGCAUCCUGGACCGGCAUUGACGCUGAGGAGCGAAAGCGUGGGGAGCGAACAGG
rnacentral:rRNA from 1 species